AGGGUGGGGAUGACCGUCAGCUGGCAACAUGUGAAACAUCAUAGAGCCUGCCCCUGGAGGGAGUACCCGUGAGCCUGCCCCAUCACGGCCAAGCCAUGACUUCAGGAUCAGUGCACGUGGACUCCAAAGCUGAGCUCACUACCUUAUUAGAGCAGUGGGAGAAGGAACAUGGCAGUGGGCAAGAUAUGGUUCCUAUCCUCACCAGGAUGUCAGAGUUGAUUGAAAAAGAAACUGAAGAAUAUCGUAAGGGAGAUCCAGAUCCAUUUGAUGAUAGACAUCCUGGGCGAGCUGAUCCAGAAUGUAUGUUGGGCCACCUAUUGAGAAUACUCUUCAAGAAUGAUGAUUUCAUGAAUGCAUUGGUGAAUGCAUAUGUGAUGACAAGUAGAGAGCCUCCUUUGAACACUGCUGCUUGUAGACUCUUGUUAGAUAUCAUGCCUGGGCUGGAAACUGCUGUUGUCUUUCAAGAAAAGGAAGGAAUUGUUGAGAACCUCUUCAAAUGGGCAAGAGAGGCUGAUCAACCCCUGAGGACUUAUUCUACUGGACUAUUGGGAGGUGCUAUGGAAAACCAAGAUAUUGCUGCCAACUAUAGGGAUGAGAACUCACAGCUGGUGGCUUUAGUGCUUCGGAGACUUAGGGAGCUACAAGUGCAUGAAAUGACUUUACGGCAGGAAAAUAAGCGUCCUAGCCCUCGAAAGUUGUCCUCUGAACCACUGUUGCCACUGGAUGAGGAAGCAGUUGACAUGGACUAUGGGGAAAUGACAAUGGAUGGAGAACAAGAGGAGACCUCCAGGGAUAUGGAGAUUUCCUUUCAUCUUGAUUCAGGCCAUAAGACCAGUAGCAGAGUGAAUUCAACCACCAAACUUGAGGAUGGAGGAUUGAGAAAAAGUAAAAUGGCAAAACAAGGUGACAGAGAUGGCUUCAGAAAGGCCAAACAAAAGUUGGGCUUCUCAACCUCUGAGCCAGAACGCAUGUUUGUUGAACUUUCUAACAGCAGCUGGUCAGAAAUGUCCCCUUGGGUUAUUGGUACUAAUUAUACCCUUUAUCCUUUGACUUCUGCUAUAGAACAACGACUUAUUCUUCAAUACUUGACCCCACUAGGAGAGUAUCAGGAGCUGCUUCCCAUUUUCAUGCAGCUUGGAUCACGGGAGCUGAUGAUGUUCUAUAUUGAUUUGAAAAGGACAAAUGAUGUAUUGCUCACCUUUGAGGCCCUGAAGCACUUAGCGUCACUUCUGCUCCACAACAAGUUUGCUACAGAGUUUGUUGCUCAUGGAGGUGUACAGAAAUUACUGGAAAUUCCUCGUCCUUCUAUGGCUGCUACUGGUGUAUCCAUGUGCUUAUAUUAUCUUUCUUAUAACCAGGAUGCCAUGGAACGAGUCUGCAUGCAUCCCCACAAUGUUCUGUCUGAUGUAGUGAACUAUACCUUGUGGCUAAUGGAGUGUUCCCAUGCAUCAGGAUGCUGCCAUGCUACCAUGUUCUUCUCUAUUUGCUUCUCUUUUCGUGCUGUCUUGGAACUCUUUGACAGGCAUGAUGGUCUUCGUCGCCUGGUCAACUUGAUCAGUACCCUAGAAAUUCUAAACUUGGAAGAUCAAGGUGCUCUUCUGAGUGACGAUGAAAUAUUUGCCAGCCGCCAAACUGGGAAACAUACCUGCAUGGCACUCCGCAGGUACUUUGAAGCUCACCUGGCCAUUAAGUUGGAACAGGUGAAGCAAUCACUUCAGAGGACAGAAGGUGGUAUUCUUGUCCAUCCACAGCCACCAUACAAGGCAUGUUCUUAUACUCAUGAGCAGAUUGUGGAGAUGAUGGAGUUUCUUAUAGAGUAUGGACCAGCCCAGUUAUAUUGGGAACCAGCUGAAGUCUUCCUCAAACUUUCUUGUGUACAGCUCAUGUUGCAGCUUAUCUCUAUUGCCUGCAACUGGAAAACCUACUAUGCAAGGAAUGAUACUGUACGCUAUGCUUUAGAUGUCCUGGCUAUUCUUACUGUGGUACCAAAAAUCCAGCUGCAGUUAGCUGAAUCAGUGGAUGUGUUAGAUGAAGCUGGAUCUACUGUCUCUACUGUAGGUAUCAGCAUCAUCCUGGGAGUAGCAGAGGGUGAGUUCUUUAUCCAUGAUGCUGAAAUUCAGAAAUCCGCUCUUCAGAUCAUUAUCAAUUGUGUGUGUGGUCCAGAUAACCGGAUCUCUAGUAUUGGCAAGUUCAUCUCUGGAACCCCUAGGCGAAAGCUGCCUCAGCCUCCAAAAAGCAGUGAGCAUACGCUGGCCAAGAUGUGGAAUGUGGUACAGUCCAACAAUGGUAUCAAGGUGCUCUUGUCAUUGUUGUCCAUCAAGAUGCCCAUCACUGAUGCAGACCAGAUCAGAGCAUUAGCGUGUAAAGCCCUAGUAGGACUUUCUCGCAGUAGCACUGUCCGGCAAAUCAUCAGCAAGCUGCCUCUUUUCAGUAGCUGCCAGAUCCAGCAGCUGAUGAAGGAACCUGUUUUGCAGGAUAAACGCAGUGACCAUGUCAAGUUCUGCAAAUAUGCUGCUGAGCUAAUUGAACGUGUAUCCGGAAAGCCCCUCCUUAUUGGUACUGAUGUCUCUCUUGCACGGCUGCAGAAAGCAGAUGUGGUAGCUCAGUCUAGAAUCUCUUUUCCUGAGAAGGAAUUGCUUCUUUUAAUCCGAAAUCAUCUCAUCUCCAAAGGGCUGGGAGAGACAGCAACUGUCCUCACCAGAGAGGCUGAUCUACCUAUGACUGCUGCAUCUCAUUCCUCUGCCUUCACUCCUGUCACAGCUGCUGCUUCCCCUGUUUCUCUGCCUCGUACCCCUCGCAUUGCCAAUGGCAUUGCAGCCAGACUAAGCAGCCACGCCAGUGUAUCCUCCUCUGCCUCAUCUGUCCAUUCUCAGUCACGGCCUCCACAGGGUCCACUUGCCCUGCCUGGCCCUUCUUAUGCAGGCAGCUCCCCUUUGAUUGGUAGGAUCAGUUUUAUCAGGGAGAGGCCAUCACCCUGCAAUGGCAGGAAAAUCAGAGUGUUACGGCAGAAAUCGGACCAUGGCGCCUACAGCCAAAGCCCAGCCAUAAAAAAGCAGUUGGACAGACAUCUUCCUUCCCCUCCCACGCUGGACAGUAUCAUCACAGAAUACCUUAGGGAGCAGCAUGCUCGCUGCAAGAACCCAGUUGCCACCUGUCCCCCCUUUUCUCUUUUUACCCCUCACCAGUGUCCUGAGCCAAAACAAAGGCGGCAAGCGCCAACAAAUUUUACCUCGAGGCUAACCCGCAGAGCAGCCUUUCCAAAGUACGGCGGGGUAGAUGGUGGGUGCUUUGAUAGGCACCUCAUCUUCAGCAGGUUCCGUCCCAUUUCAGUGUUUCGGGAAGCAAAUGAGGAUGAAAGUGGCUUUACCUGCUGUGCAUUCUCAGCCCGAGAGAGGUUUCUAAUGCUUGGCACGUGUACGGGGCAGCUGAAACUUUACAAUGUGUUCAGUGGACAGGAAGAGGCUAGUUAUAACUGUCAUAACUCUGCCAUUACACACCUUGAACCAUCCAGGGAUGGAUCUUUGUUGUUAACAUCUGCCACUUGGAGCCAGCCCCUCUCUGCACUCUGGGGGAUGAAAUCAGUGUUUGAUAUGAAGCAUUCCUUCACAGAAGACCACUACGUAGAGUUCAGCAAGCACUCACAAGAUAGGGUCAUUGGCACAAAAGGGGACAUUGCCCAUAUUUAUGACAUUCAGACUGGCAACAAGCUGUUGACUCUCUUUAACCCAGAUCUUGCCAACAACUACAAGAGGAACUGUGCCACGUUUAAUCCUACAGAUGAUCUAGUCUUAAAUGACGGGGUCCUCUGGGAUGUUCGCUCUGCACAGGCCAUACAUAAGUUUGACAAGUUCAACAUGAACAUCAGUGGUGUUUUCCAUCCUAAUGGACUGGAAGUUAUUAUUAAUACUGAAAUUUGGGACCUUCGAACUUUCCAUUUGCUGCACACAGUCCCAGCUUUGGAUCAGUGUCGUGUGGUUUUCAACUAUACGGGUACAGUGAUGUAUGGAGCAAUGCUACAGGCAGAUGAUGAAGAUGACUUAAUGGAAGAAAGGAUGAAAAGCCCCUUUGGGUCAUCUUUCAGAACUUUCAAUGCAACAGACUAUAAGCCAAUAGCUACCAUUGAUGUGAAACGGAAUAUUUUUGACCUGUGCACUGACACCAAGGACUGUUACCUUGCUGUAAUUGAGAAUCAAGGCAGUAUGGAUGCCCUGAACAUGGACACAGUAUGCAGGUUGUAUGAGGUGGGCAGGCAGCGCCUGGCAGAAGAUGAGGAUGAGGAAGAAGAUCAGGAGGAAGAAGAACAGGAGGAAGAAGAUGAUGAUGAAGAUGACGAUGACACAGAUGACCUUGAUGAACUUGACACUGACCAGCUGCUAGAGGCAGAGUUGGAGGAGGAUGAAAACAAUGAGAAUGCUGGCGAGGAUGGCGAUAAUGACUUCUCUCCUUCAGAUGAAGAGCUGGCUAACUUGCUUGAAGAAGGAGAUGAAGGGGAAGAUGAAGACUCAGAUGCUGAUGAGGAAGUUGAAUUGAUACUGGGAGACAUGCUUCACUGCCCAUCUGUGGCCAAACUCAUGAAUUUUGGGGAAAUAAUCCCUAUGAUCUCCAGCGGGUUUUCUUAUAUAUAGUCCAGUCAGCACUUUUAAAGGUGGUAGGUAUUAUGUCCAGAGAGAAGAGGACACAACACAGACCUAAUUAAAGCCAAGCCUCGCCAUAGUUGACCUGUUUUUAUAAUGGAUGGGUUUGGUGGUGGAGGGAAAGGUGGUGGGGACAGAAGGGAGGAAAUCAUUUAGUUGGAAGUAUAAUUUAGGCAUUCCCCUUAAACCAUGAUAUAAGGACAUAUUUUCUGGGAUAAAUCUUGCUGGUUCUGAUCAAAGAAUCUAAGACCAACUAGAGGAGACUGGCUUCUGUGUAGCCAUUUCCAUGAGUCCUUCUUUCUGUUGCUGUUUUAAGGAAACUCUUAUAAGGGUGGUGGGGGGAGAAGAGUUGGGGAUCAUAACUCCAUCCAAUCUACUGAGAGAGUGGAGAGGGCUGUUUAUCAGCCUCUGUUUCCUGCACUUGGAGACUGAGAUGCCAGGACAGACCAGGAGAUGGGGCAGUACUCUGGAGAGACUUUGCCUUGUCUCAGGAAGGGUUCCUAUUCAGCAGAGGGUUUUUUUUUUUUUUUUUUUUUACUUUGUCAGAGGACCUGAGAGAGAAAGCCAGUAAGGGGUGGGUGAAGCAUAUCAACAUUAUUGUAAAAAAAAAAAAAUGGUGGGGGGAACAGGUUCUAGAAACAUUUUUGUUGUACUUAAUAAGUGGACACGGGGUAUAAACCAUAUCGACAUUGUCAAUUUUUAAUUCACUUAAAUGACAAGGGAUUAGUGAGGCACAUUAAAAGGGGUGGCAAGCAGCCGUGGCGGAGAGUAAAGUCCAGCUCGUGGUGGUGCCAGCUAAUGCAAGUGAGUACUGCUUUAAUUUUUUAAUUUUUUAGUUUGAAUGCAAGGCCACCAAAAUUUGGGUUUGGCUUGUAAAAUUACUUCCUGUUGUAGCUACCAGGGCACCAAGCAUUUUAGUUCUGGAACUACUUUCUCCCAAGCCAAAUCAAGUUUGUAGGCACAGUACUUACGUUGCUGAAAGGGGAAAAGCUUCUGGUGUAGAACUAUAGCUUGGGAAAGAAGCUUAAAUUAUGAUUCUAAUGGGUGCUGGGGGGAGAGGGGAAGGUUGAGGUGGUAUAGGUAGAGAAAAGAGUUGAUGACAGUGAGCAGAGAGAAUAACCCAGACUACAUCCUUAGUCUCAGCUGGAGUUCAAAGGUAGAUUGUGUUUAGGCUACUUUGUUUUUCAAAGUUAGGACGAUGCCUUGAUUUCAGAGGACGAGGCUUGGGCAUUGCUGUUGUCCUGUUCUAGCUCAUCAUUGUUAGGGAAAUUUGCUUACUUUAGGAUCAGUAUGUUCCUAAGACUUGGCAGUGUCCUAAGAGGACUUUUCUUGAAAUUUUCUUUGGUACAUGCUGCCAGGCAAUCAGUUUAAUCUUUAAAAAAAAAAAAAAAAAUUAACAGUACAGGCUAAAUAGAUAGGAAGUCCUGUAUAGCCUGAAUUAUAUUGAUAAGCGUGAUGGUCUGGCAAAAUACUUAUAUAACAAUGUAUUUGCAAAGUGUCUUUACCUCUCAAAGAUCCCUUAGUUUUGGGUUGCUCUCAUUUCUUCAUUUAAGAGAUCAAUCAAAAGUAGUGGGGCUCUUGCAAGCCAGUCUUCUUACAUAAUUUUUGAGGAUCCAAUUCUACAGUAUCAAUAAUUGGACCAAUUCUUUGAACUUCCUCUAAAGGAUUAUGUCUAUGUGAAUUCCCUUAAUUGACUUUUCUUGGUAAUCAUGCAUAUAGUUGAGGCUGAUGGUUAGGGGUCACUUUCCACAGUUGGGUCCAUUUCUUUGAAUGAAUUGUCCCAGUCUACUUGGAGUACCCUAAUUUUCAGCUGUGUCUUUAGACAUUUCUAAGGCUUUGGGGAGGAAUGUCAAGUGCUUAGGUACACAUGAAAUAAUAGACUGUGUUGGCCUCCUUUCUCUUCUCUCAGCCCCCAGCUUCUUUGUGGCCCUUUUCUAGAUUGCUGGAGAAAAGCUUUAGCAUAUUGAUAAGAUAUCACUAGUGAUUUCCUUCAGUAAUUUCAGGGCUGUAUUUUCUGAUCUUCCUUCCUUGUUUUCUUAACUCUUAGGAGAUCUUUGCUUCCUGUCCCCUUUGCUUGAUUGUGACUUCUCUGACCCAGGGACAGUUACUUUAGCCAUCUGGUCUAGCCUCGCUCAAGAGCUUUAUUGUCUACUUCUCCUGGUCACACUGAUAGCUCAGAUAACUCCGAUUUGGAAGAUGACAUCAUCUUAUCUUUGAAUGAAUGAGGAGUGAUCAUCAUAUGGAUGCCCACUGAAGAAAUUCUAUUCCUGGCAGGCAGGAGACCAAAUGAGAAGCGAAUUCAGAACAAGCCUCCCUGACACCUCUUCUCCCCUUUCUCCCAUCCCUGUCUGUGUCCCUAUCCCAGGGAUAUGUUUUUCAAGAACCUGUAGGCUUCAAGCUUGGAGGGUUUUGGCUUAAGCAGAGAAUCAGUUGUGCCCAACAAUGGCCAUUCAAUAAAGAGAUCAGGGGUUAGGCCCUUUUUCUGCCUUCUUUUCCCCCCACUUCCUCCAGGAUGGACAAAUCUUUCCUUAAGGAAAAGCCCCACUUCUCUGGGGAUAUUUCACAAUAUAUUUUCUUUGUAUAAAGUUCUUUACUAAAGAACAAGAAAUAGUUUUAUAUAAAAGCAAAAAAAAAAAAAUUGCAGGUGUUUAUAGCAAAGAGGGUGUGAACUUAUAUCCACCGGGUACCUUGUCCCUUAAGCUUCAUUUCCUUUGGGAGAAAGUGAUGCCCAAAGAUCAAUACAAAGAGGCGUUUUUACACAAGUAUUUAAAAUGAAAAGGAAAAUCGUGGUUUCUUAAAUUGAUAAGGAUUAAGACUAUUUUAUUAUAAAUAUAAUAUAUGAUUUUUUUAAAAAAAAGUUUUGUUGCCUCACAUGUUGUCAGGAUGUUGGUUUUUUUUCCUUGACUUGAGGUGCCUUCGUGCCAGAGCUGGGGAAGAAGGCAGGCAUUGACUGCUAUUUGUCAUGUAUAUGCACACAUUCAUUCACCCACCCUCAUGGAAGGGCAGGCAGGAGCAAGUCCUGGCAUUUUGGUCAUUGUGGAUACCGGUUUUGUGGAGAUGAGGGAACUUGUGAUAUAAGUUCACUCCCUCUAUUUUUUUUUUUUUUUUUUUCAUGAUUCAGUUUUUUUUUUUUUUAAAUCUUUUUUUUUUCCUUCUCUUUUCUCCUGUGUGGAAAUUACAAAUCAAAGGCCUUUUUCUUUAAUGUAAAGUGUAUUUAUUUAAAAAAAAUACAAAAUAAACUACAAGUCUGUCUUUGUU